rnacentral:lncRNA from 1 species
CUUUACUGAAGUUAAGUACCUUGUGUUAUGCUAGACAAGGAUUGACUUGGAAACCACAUACAGAUUUUAUUAUUAUGAAGGCUUGUAAAGCUCUUUAGGCUUAUAGAGGAGGCAUUUUGGAUAAGACAUGAGGAUCUUAAACCAGGAUUGUUGUACUGGGUAUAUAGUAUGGUUCUGAGACUCAUUAUUGUCUAUGCUGCCACUAUUUGAUGGUGAAAAGGUGUGUUAACCCUUUGGCCUGGCACACAUUGAGAUGCAGGGGAGAUAGAUGGCACAGUGCAACACAGCAUAGAAUUUUGUGUUUAAUCUGUUUACAUAGAUAUACACAAAUUGACACACAGAGCAGGGCAGGAAUGUCCCUGUCCCACACAGUGUGGGUGACACAGUUUCCUGUGCAUGUGUCAGAUAGUUUGGAGUGUUUCACAUGCAAGA